UUCCCUCCGAAGUUUCCCUCAGGAUAGCUGGAACUUACGGCAGUUUUAUCAGGUAAAGCGAAUGAUUAGAGGUCUUAGGGUUAAAACAACCUUAACCUAUUCUCAAACUUUAAAUUGGUAAGAAGUCCGACUUGCUUAAUUGAAGCCGGACAGUGAAUGCGAGUUCCUAGUGGGCCAUUUUUGGUAAGCAGAACUGGCGAUGCGGGAUGAACCGAACGCGCGGUUAAGGUGCCAAAGUCGACGCUCAUCAGACCCCACAAAAGGUGUUGGUUGCUCUAGACAGCAGGACGGUGGCCAUGGAAGUUGGAAUCCGCUAAGGAGUGUGUAACAACUCACCUGCCGAAGCAACUAGCCCUGAAAAUGUAUGGCGCUCAAGCGUCGCACCUAUACCGUGCCGUCGGAGCAGAUGCGAAGCUCCGACGAGUAGGAGGGCGUGGGGGUCGUGACGCAGCCUCUGGCGCGAGCCUGGGUGAAACGGCCUCCAGUG
rnacentral:rRNA from 1 species